rnacentral:rRNA from 1 species
GGUUUGGGAGGGGUUUACGAACUCCGCAUGGUGAAGGAAAGUGCCAAGAAAAGCUGGUAAUGUGAUGAAAGCAUCAUACCCGUACCCGAAACCGACACAGGUAGGGAGGUUGAGAAUACCAAGGGGCGCGAGAUAACUCUCUCUAAGGAACUCGGCAAAAUGGCCCCGUAACUUCGGAAGAAGGGGUGCCCACGAGAGUGGGUCGCAGUGAAGAGAUCCAGGCGACUGUUUACCAAAAACACAGGUCUCCGCUAACUCGAAAGAGGACGUAUGGGGGCUGACGCCUGCCCAGUGCCGGAAGGUUAAGGAAGUUGGUCAGGGGUUCGCCCUGAAGCUGACGACCGAAGCCCCGGUGAACGGCGGCCGUAACUAUAACGGUCCUAAGGUAGCGAAAUUCCUUGUCGGGUAGGUUCCGACCCGCACGAAAGGCGUAACGAUCUGGAUGGUGUCUCAGAGAGAGACUCGGCGAAAUAGGAAUGUCUGUGAAGAUACGGACUGCCUGCACCUGGACAGAAAGACCCUAUGAAGCUUUACUGUAGCCUGGAAUUGUGUUCGGGCUUGGCUUGCGUAGGAUAGGUGGGAAGCACAGAAGUACCCCUUGUGGGGGGUAUGGAGCUAACGGUGAGAUACCACUCUGGCGAAGCUAGAAUUCUAACCUAGCACCCUCAGCGGGUGUAGGAACAGUUUCAGGUGGGCAGUUUGACUGGGGCGGUCGCCUCCUAAAAGGUAACGGAGGCGCGCAAAGGUUCUCUCAGCACGCUUGGAAACCGUUCGGCGAGUGUAAAGGCAUAAAGAGAGCUUGACUGCAAGAGUGACAACUCAAGCAGGGACGAAAGUCGGCCUUAGUGAUCCGACGGCACAGAAUGGAAUGGCCGUCGCUCAACGGAUAAAAGUUACUCUAGGGAUAACAGGCUGAUCUCCCCCAAGAGUCCACAUCGACGGGGAGGUUUGGCACCUCGAUGUCGGCUCAUCGCAACCUGGGGCGGAAGUACGUCCCAAGGGUUGGGCUGUUCGCCCAUUAAAGCGGUACGUGAGCUAGGUUCAGAACGUCGUGAGACAGUUCGGUCCAUAUCCGGUGCAGGCGUAAGAGCAUUGAGAGGAGCCUUCCUUAGUACGAGAGGACCGGGAAGGACGCACCGCUGGUGUACCAGUUAUUCCACCAGGAGUAGACGCUGGGUAGCUAAGUGCGGAGCGGAUAACCGCUGAAAGCAUCUAAGUGGGAAGCCCACCUCAAGAUGAGUGCUCUCACUACUUAAGUAGGUAAGGUCACGGGCAGAACACCCGUUUAUAGGCUCUAAGUGGAAGUACAGCAAUGUAUGUAGCUGAGGAGUCCUAACAGACCGAGGGCUU